CCGAUUCUUCUUUUCCCACGGUUAAAAAAAAAUCUGGGAAACCAGCCCACCACUCCCCACGUUCCGCUAUAGAACCACGUCCGACCUCCCCCUCUCCCCCACCUCUCGGUCCCGAUCCUGUCUCUCCUCCCGAAAAAGAAUCGCCGCCGCCUACCUCGGUACCACACCCCCACGCGCUCCCUCGCCGGCCCAGAUCUCGACCCGCGGCUACUCCCGUCCCCCUGGUCGUCUCCGAGUAGAAGAACCCUAAGGUCGAUGGUAUCGUCGUCUUUGUCCUUAGAAGGCGUUGCCUCGAGGACGGCCCAGCGCGCGGUUUCGCGGGAGAGCCCGGCAACAACGACGCUGCUCACUGGUAAGGGUAGCGAGGCCGCGCAGCAGUCGAUCUAGGCGGCGAGGGAGAGGGAUGUCGAUGCGGAUGCCACGACGACGACAACCUCGUCAUGGGUGACCGCGACAUCGAUCCAUCUGAUGGUGGGAGCGCGGGCGGGCGCGGGUUUGACGAGGAGCUCGGAGGAGGACGGUGUGAGGAGGAGCUUGUUCAGCAGCACUGCUCAGGCCCCCAGCAACCACAGGUUGAAGAUGUCUGUGAUGGUGUUCAUCUGAGAUGUCAUGCGGGGCGCAUCUUUUCGCUGCUGGUCACCCGAGAUGUCAGUGACACUUGAAGAUGUAUCAAAAUCUGUCGUACAAAAUAAAGGAGCACCCAGGACGAUGACUUCCAUAUUGGCAUGUAUGAUUCUGGUUCGGCCGUGGCCUCUGAUAUCCCAGGGUGUGUGUCCUGUUAUGUUGGGUUUGCUAUGAUUUGGGUGCGGCUAGCUACACAGCAUCCGCGGGCCAUGCAUGUGACAUGCAUGCUAGCUAGGUAUUUUUGACUCUGGUGGGGCGGUGCCGGAACCGCCUACGCUGGUUACGACCGCCGUGGCUAUGCUUGAAGUCAGAAUCACCACGAUGACGGUAGUGGCCGCACUCAUAUCAAAACGGCAGCCACAGUAUGUGAUCAGGCCUUUACUAUCAUCCUCUGAAUUUGGGAUCACCUGCAGGAGAAAGAGCGCGAGAGCCUAAGAGGGUAGUACAACAUUACGAACAAGUUGUUUUUUAUCCAUGUAAUUGAUCUGAUACGAAGCUGAUGCCACAUAAAAGGAUAACUGAGUUCUUAUCUCCAGUAUGUCAUGAUGUUACAACUCAAUUAAUUUUCACCUCUCUAGCCACUAUGCACGGAAGGUAUUUGCUAAUCCGCACAAUGAUCUUUUCUAAUAAAAUAUGCCAAUAAUAUCACCUUCAUUUUUUAUUGAUGUCGUCUUAUUAAUCCCUGCUAUAAUCCAAUUUGACCACAUAAAAAGUUUUUCCACAAUCUUCCCAAAUAUGUAUUUUUUUUAUGUAAGUAUCUAACUGCAGGUGGAAGAACAAGAUUCACUGUGUGC